rnacentral:lncRNA from 10 species
GUCAGCGGCGGUUGAAUUGCCAUGGCAAUGCGGUGGGCGCGCGCUUGUCGUGUUGGUCUCUUGGGAGGUAGCGGGGCUAGGCCGGGCGGGUAUCCGCCUCUCCCAGCUUAGGUGAGCGUCCCCGGGCGCCUCCGGAGCGCCGCGGCCGCAUGCAGUUCGUCGUGGCGGGGAGCCGGAGCCUGACCGGGGUUCCAGCGCUCGGGCCGUAGCCUUGGCUCCUGGACUUUCCCUGGCUCCGCCGCCACGUGGGAGCUGAGGCUCUGGGGCUUCCGCCUCCGGCGCGCGAUUAUUUCUCUAGAACAGUUUUCAUUUUUAAAAUUUGUAAAGCGCUUUUGCCUGUGUGAUUUCCUCUGGGUUUUUUUUUUUUUUCUUCCUUUUUGUAGAGACGGAAUUGGCGGCGGGGGCGGGGGGUCGAUGUCUCACUUUUUUGCCCAGGCUGGUCUCGAACUCCUGGCUUCAAGGGAUCCUCCUGCCUCGGCCUCUUAAAGUGCUGGGAUUACAGGCGUGAGCCACCGCCCCCGGCCGCCUCUGAGUUUCCAGCCUCGUUGGCCCUCCAGCCUUUUAACCUGUUGGGCCUAGGAUCAGGAAAGGUUUGUUGAAUGGGGAACUAAGAAGUGAAUUCGUUCGUUCGACAAACGUUUCCUGAGCAGCCGCUGGGUGCUAGGCGCAGUGCCAGCGCGGAAUGUCCAGGGAGACCUGGUGCCCAAAGCUUGGACCCAUCGUGAGAAAUGAGAAGCAGAUACAAAGCAGUGUGGGAGUGCAGAGGAGACAAAGCAAGCCUCAUCAGGCCCAUUGCUUGCUCUGCUCUCCCUUGUACUUACCAGUGCUUGACAAUAUACAGUUAUUUACUAGCUUGGUUAUUGACUUCCUACCCAGCACUCAGUUUUAUUCACUGCUGUAUCCUCAGUGCCUAGGACGAUGCUUGGAACGUGGUAAGUGCUCCUAUUGGCGGGAAGAAUAAAUCCGGAAGAGCAGGACCAGUGGACUUGCUACAUAAUCUGUAGUCUUGGAGCCGCACAGGGUUGGUGGUACCCUCGAGCACACCAGACUUGCAGAAAAAGCAUACUCCAGAGGAAGCUGAGGCAUGCCUGCUCGAGAGCCAGCUGUUCCAUGUGCAAUUUUCCUCUGAUAGUUUCUGGUCACUGUUGCCACGGUGAUAAUGACUGGGCUAUGUCAUUAUCUAUCCGCCAACAGUAAGAGAAGCUUUGCAGUCGAGAUAUUGUUUAGCAGAUGGAGUGUUUUCUGUUGAACACUAAGUACUGCCACAAGUUACUUUUUUUUUUUUAAACUUUGAGUAUUUUUUUACAAUGUUGCUGGAGGUGAUCUGUUUAUGCUUUGAGAGUGUUCGAAUUUAAAAUCAGAAAAUCAUGUCAGUGAGUGAGUCUUUCAAAUAAUCCUUCGGCAUGAAACCUGAGCCUAGUAAACUAUGAAAGUAAACUCGGCACAUUACCCGAAAGUCUCAAUGUCAUAUUUUCACCCCCAUCAAUAUUAUUGAUGAUUGCUCAUUUUCUAAUGUGGGACCUGAAAUUUACCAGGUGCUUAAAGAAUCUUUUUGUUUUUCAGAUUCAUUGAUUCCAGGUAAAUCAGAGGAACAAGCAACAUGAACAGAAAUAUGUAGAAAAAGCUAUUAUGCAGAAGCAUAAUUGUUGUUUCAGAAGUCCAGCAUCUGGUGCACUUAACAAUAGAGAAUAUAUUAAACUCUUUCCAAAAUAACCUGUUGUUCCUACCUGUGUUGUAAGUGUUUUGUUUGUUUUUAAGUAAAUAUUGGUGAUUUGUUGCCAAAAACCUAAA